UGUCUUCAUUACUUUUAUGAUUCUUGCCUUUUUUUUACAGCUGCACUCCAAAUUUUGACACGAGCAACUUGUGAGUGGCUUUAAGUGGAGUGUGGGAAGUGAAAAUCGGAGUGGGAGUAGAUGCAGUUGACCAGUAGGCUUAAACGUGAUGGUUGGGGUUUGUGCAAUUAAUAUAAUUGUAUGCCUGCCAGCUAUGGCCAUAAGUUCGGUUAGGACUGAAGAACUGAGGAAGAAGACUCGUUUUAUUUAUCCCUAUGGAGGCCCAUAAUAUUUGUUCGAGCGCCAUUGUUGCUCUGGUUCUUACUGAAAGAUAAUAAUGAAAACCGGAGCGUUUGCAUAAAAAACUAUUUGUGGGUUAGAGAUCUUUGGGACGUUGUGGAACAAACCUCAGAACCUCCUGAACGGGAAGAUGAGGCUGAAUUCAAGGCUUGGAGUAAGAGGAAUGUGGCUGAUAUAUAUAUAUAUAUAUAACUUUUGACAGAGCAAUUAGUAUCCGAAUCUUAGCUUAGGCUUGAACAAAUCUCAAGGGCAGCUAUGCAGAUGCAAAGAGAACUACAACGAUUCAAGAUAAUAAAAAAGUUUGACCAGUAGACUUAAACGCGUGAUGGGGUGUGUGCAUUUAAAAUAAUUCCAGUUUCUACUAUGCCUACUGGCCAUCGCCAUAAGCUUGGUUAGGACUGAAGAACUGAGGAAGAAGACUCGUUUUACUUAU